UACGGAGGGCGCAAGCGUUGUUCGGAAUCACUGGGCGUAAAGCGCGUGUAGGCGGCUUGGUAAGUCGGGUGUGAAAGCCCGGGGCUCAACCCCGGAACUGCACUCGAAACUGCCUCGCUCGAGUCCCGGAGAGGGUGGUGGAAUUCCCGGUGUAGAGGUGAAAUUCGUAGAUAUCGGGAGGAACACCAGUGGCGAAGGCGGCCACCUGGACGGUGACUGACGCUGAGACGCGAAAGCGUGGGGAGCAAACAGGAUUAGAUACCCUGGUAGUCCACGCCGUAAACUUUGGGUGCUAGGCGUCGCGGGUAUUGACCCCCGCGGUGCCGCAGCUAACGCGUUAAGCACCCCGCCUGGGGAGUACGGUCGCAAGACUAAA
rnacentral:rRNA from 1 species